rnacentral:rRNA from 1 species
AGUGAACGCUGGCGGUAGGCCUAACACAUGCAAGUCGAACGGCAGCACAGUAAGAGCUUGCUCUUACGGGUGGCGAGUGGCGGACGGGUGAGGAAUACAUCGGAAUCUACUUUUUCGUGGGGGAUAACGUAGGGAAACUUACGCUAAUACCGCAUACGACCUACGGGUGAAAGCAGGGGAUCUUCGGACCUUGCGCGAUUGAAUGAGCCGAUGUCGGAUUAGCUAGUUGGAGAGGUAACGGCUCACCAAGGCGAUGAUGGGUAGCCGGCCUGAGAGGGUGAUCGGCCACAAGGGGACUGAGACACGGCCCUUACUCCUACGGGAGGCAGCAGUGGGGAAUAUUGGACAAUGGGCGCAAGCCUGAUCCAGCCAUACCGCGUGGGUGAAGAAGGCCUUCGGGUUGUAAAGCCCUUUUGUUGGGAAAGAAAAGCAGCAGGUUAAUACCCCGCUGUUCUGACGGUACCCAAAGAAUAAGCACCGGCUAACUUCGUG